CACAAGAAUGUUAGGUCCCUGGC
rnacentral:piRNA from 1 species